rnacentral:rRNA from 1 species
AUUGAACGCUGGCGGCAGGCCUUACACAUGCAAGUCGAACGGCAGCACGGGAGCAAUCCUGGUGGCGAGUGGCGAACGGGUGAGUAAUAUAUCGGAACGUGCCCAGUCGUGGGGAUAACGUAGCGAAAGCUACGCUAAUACCGCAUACGAUCUAUGGAUGAAAGCGGGGGAUCGCAAGACCUCGCGCGAUUGGAGCGGCCGAUAUCAGAUUAGGUAGUUGGUGAGGUAAAGGCUCACCAAGCCGACGAUCUGUAGCUGGUCUGAGAGGACGACCAGCCACACUGGGACUGAGACACGGCCCAGACUCCUACGGGAGGCAGCAGUGGGGAAUUUUGGACAAUGGGCGCAAGCCUGAUCCAGCAAUGCCGCGUGCAGGAUGAAGGCC